AUAAAGAUGUUCUUCAACACCACCCAUAUUUGGAUAAAAGAAAUCU
rfam:Dictyostelium discoideum AX4 chromosome 4, whole genome shotgun sequence.